GUUCACCAGUUGCGGCAGACAGUGCCAGGCCUCGACGUCACCCGAACACACGAAAGGCGGCGACGUUUACGCGUGGUGUUGACACACUUUUGUGAACUCCGUAACACCUUGACGGUCGCGGCGCGGCCUGAUCGAUCCGUUCGCGGCCCAUUGUGGAAACUUGGUCGACGGGAUUUUACGGGUUUUAUCAGUGGGAAAUUUCGUCCUCGCGUCGACCGAGUUAAACGCUGCGGUGUACGCGACAUGGAAGACUGCUCGAUUGUCAGAAUUUCCAGCACGAGGACUCGAUACUGUUGAGUUAAAUGUGACCAGUCUACGCCUGGGAAAACGAUGUUGGAGAUGGGGGAUGUGAGUACUUCCUUGAACAACGUGUGUGACAUUAAUUUAAACGCGUCUGUGAAUCGAGAUAUCGAUGGACGGAAGGAAAGUUCGAAUUUUAUCCAGGUCUGCGAUAACAGAUCUUAGCGUGUAGAGAUAGCCAAAAGAGUUCAGCGUGUGGACAGCUUCGAAUAGAAGCGGAUAAAGCUGAUCCAAGCCGGCGGAGCUUCGCGCGGAGGAUCAGGAAUCGGCUUAAGCCUCGAUACUCUCCUGCGCUUCGAUGAAGAGUGCAAAGUGUAGUACGUACCGCGCGAAAGAGGAGAGCUAAGGAUCCUAAAAGGAUUCGAGGAUCUCCAAGAAUUCCGAUACAUUUUCGUAUAUGUCUCGAAGCCUCGAGCGGGGAGAAAGUUGCCUGAGCGUCGUUGCUUAAAGCAGCGCGUUCAAAAUGUUCUUAUCGUCCAACGCUGUAAUAACGGAACGACGUGAAUACUAAUACUAAAUUCUAUGAAGUAGACAGAUAGAUAAUCUAUUCCUUAAAAUUUUUACAUAAGGAAUAACUUUUGCUUAGAUCGCAUCAUUUACAAAUCAUGGAAAGAGAAGAAAGAAAAAAUUACUAUUUUUAUACCGAUACUAUUUGAUACUGGUAAUUAUUAAAUAAAUAACAUGUAUACAAUUUCUUACUAGUUUAUGUAUUAAUCCAGCCAAAUGCAGUAUGCAGCCAAAUAU